rnacentral:tRNA from 1 species
UAGCGGGAUAGGGUAGUUUGGAGUGCCCGCUGGGCUCAUAACCCAGAGAUCAGUGGUUCAAAUCCACUUCCCGCUAU